rnacentral:rRNA from 1 species
AUGCAUGUUCAGUGAAAUCGAGUAGGGCGGGACACGUGUUAUCCUGUCUGAAUAUGGGGGGACCAUCCUCCAAGGCUAAAUACUCCUGACUGACCGAUAGUGAACCAGUACCGUGAGGGAAAGGCGAAAAGAACCCCUGUGAGGGGAGUGAAAUAGAACCUGAAACCGUGUACGUACAAGCAGUAGGAGCACCUUCGUGGUGUGACUGCGUACCUUUUGUAUAAUGGGUCAGCGACUUAUAUUCAGUGGCAAGGUUAACCAUCUAGGGGAGCCGUAGGGAAACCGAGUCUUAACUGGGCGCCAUAGUCUCUGGAUAUAGACCCGAAACCGAGUGAUCUAGCCAUGGGCAGGUUGAAGGUUGAGUAACAUCAACUGGAGGACCGAACCGACUAAUGUUGAAAAAUUAGCGGAUGACUUGUGGCUAGGGGUGAAAGGCCAAUCAAACUCGGAGAUAGCUGGUUCUCCCCGAAAGCUAUUUAGGUAGCGCCUCGGACGAAUACUACUGGGGGUAGAGCACUGUUAAGGCUAGGGGGUCAUCCCGACUUACCAACCCUUUGCAAACUCCGAAUACCAGUAAGUACUAUCCGGGAGACACACGGCGGGUGCUAACGUCCGUCGUGGAGAGGGAAACAACCCAGACCGCCAGCUAAGGUCCCAAAUUACAGCUAAGUGGGAAACGAUGUGGGAAGGCUUAGACAGCUAGGAUGUUGGCUUAGAAGCAGCCAUCAUUUAAAGAAAGCGUAAUAGCUCACUAGUCGAGUCGGCCUGCGCGGAAGAUGUAACGGGGCUAAGUUGUAAA